AUGAGAGUCAAAUGGUCGAUCAGAGAGAUCAUAUUUUCCAUUUCCCUGGGUACGGUACAGGUCCUGGAACAAAGCAGAGCCAAAAGCACAUAUGCAUCAUUCGUGAAUGUACUUCAGAUGCACAGAGAGUGGCCAUGGUAUAUCCCCCUCUUCUCUUGUCAACUUCCUAUGGCUCCUUUACUUGCUAUUUUGCUUUUUUCUUUUUUACAGAGAAGCAGCAAUGUAGAACUGUCUCCAUAUGAGACGGAUUGGUUCUUGUCUUGUUCAUGGAAAGUUGAACAAGAACGCAGAGCAAGCGACUUGAAUUUAUCUUGCCAGGAACCAUACGUCAAGUGUAUGAAUGUGGUGGCAUGA
rnacentral:rRNA from 1 species